CUUCGUCCUUUCUGAAAGAGAACAUUUUUGUGCUCCGAAACAUUUCAUAGUUUAAGAGCUUCCUUUAUACGCAUCCACAUGCUGCUGUUCUCGUGCCUUUAAACUGCUGUUGGCUAGUUACCUUUUCAAGCUUAGUUUUAUUAGGAGAAAAGAAACCUCUAGGUUUGGGGUUUUCUUUAAUAGGGUGACAGUUUCACAGUGUGUAAGCUGCCUUCACUGCUUCAAACAGCAGUUUUUUGGGCUAAAGGUGAACUUGCUGAGUUGACGACUCACAUUUUGAUCUUGCAGCUUUGUGCUCAUGGAUCGAUUCACCUGUCAAAUACCAGCUCCUGGCAUCCCACCGAACGGAUAUACGUCUCGGCCUUGGGAGUGACUUGCUGUAGAAGACACAGGGUCUUAAUGGUAUUUGGGGGAAUAUCACACGAUUAUUCUGAGCCCAGCUCCAUUUUAUUAAAAAGAAUUACCACCUCUUCUAGAGGUUACAAGGGGUCUAACAGCCUCCCCCUGGGGAAGAGAUCCUCCACCAAGGAGCAGAGAUCUACUUCCUGCUGGUGCUCUCAACCCACCUGGACUGCUGCUGACUUCCCCUGAUCAGCAGUUACUCAACUCAUCUGCAGCCUUUCCCUCGAGGUUUCUGCUCUGCCAGGGCUGUAGUCUUUCAUAACAACUGUUUCUGACUGACUGCUUGGUCACAUCUCAGGAAUUUCAGGACUCCCCUAUUUACCUUUUGCAAGUACUUCUCAUAUAGGCCAUCAAUAGCAAAUCAAUAUCUUCUUAUCUCAUGGUUGAGAUAUUACUAAUAUGUGUCCAAGUCAAUACUUUUCCUUAAAGCCAAAGCACGCAAGUGUCUUUCUCUCUUUUCCGUCAUCCUUUGCAAAAGUUCAGUCACGUGCAAGUACUAACCUAAGCCAUACAAACAACACACACCUAUAGAGCUCUGAUGGCUUUGAUGAUAUUUUGAUAAAUAUUAACAAAAAGAGUAAUCUGAAGCUGGUCAUUUAUAGGGGAGAAAGCUGUCUCACAUGAGGAGCAGCAUCAUCAUAACAAAAAGUUCUAUGGUAAGGAAAUAGAAUAGUAAACUGUGCAACAAAACAUGGAAGAUUUUGUCCUUUACUUCCUACCACAGAAAUCUGUUCUUGAUGCUCCCUGCACAAUGGCUCCUCCAGAAGUUGGCUACAGACCGAAGGAAUAGAUAUGAAAGGAAGGUAGUAAAUGUAAUGGAUGUAUGCGCUUCAUUUGUGUGACAUCUUGUGACUUCCACUUUGGAGACUAAGCAUGUUUGGUACGUUUAAUUUUGUCCUUGUCUACCAGCAAUGAAAGAGAAGGCAUCUCAUCAAUAGGAUCUUUUUUGCAGGGAUUGUUUUGAAUCAGUCUCACUGGGAGGGGCUCUUGGAUCAGGAAUCUCUGGAGCUGUUUUUGGUACAAAGUCUAACAUGGGUGGUUCCUCAGAAAAUCAGAUUUCUGGGUUUCUUUGACACCUAUGAAGUUGCUUUGCAGAUAAAGGAUGUAUCCGGAAGACACAAAUCAGGGACCAGGAGCAUAGUCAACAGGAUGCAUGAGGUAACCUGUGAGCUGAGUUUGGCAGAGAUGG
rnacentral:lncRNA from 1 species